UAGCCGCCAGGGAAUUACGAGUCACCUUAAAACCCAAAGGACUUGACGGUGUCCCACCCACCUAGAGGAGCCUGUUCUAUAAUCGACACCCCCCGAUACACCCAACCACCCCUAGCAUACUCAGUCUGUAUACCUCCGUCGCAAGCCUACCCUGUGAACGCUACUUAGUGGGCUCAAGGAUCCUCCAUCAAAACGUCAGGUCAAGGUGCAACUAACGAGGUGGAAAGCAAUGGGCUACAAUCUCUAUGAUAGAACACACGAAAAACUGCAUGCAACACAGUCACGAAGGCGGAUUUAGUAGUAAAAAGAAAAUAGAGUGUUCUUUUUAACCAGGCACUGGGACGCGU
rnacentral:rRNA from 1 species